UACAGAGGGUGCGAGCGUUUAAUCGGAAUUACUGGGCGUAAAGCGUGCGUAGACGGUUAUUUAAGUCGGGUGUGAAAGCCCCGGGCUCAACCUGGGAAUUGCAUUCGAGACUGAAUAGCUAGGGUACGGUAGAGGGAAGUGGAAUUUCCGGUGUAGCGGUGAAAUGCGUAGAUAUCGGAAGGAACAUCAGUGGCGAAAGCGACUUCCUGGACCAGUACCGACGUUCAGGCACGAAAGCGUGGGGAGCAAACAGGA
rnacentral:rRNA from 1 species